rnacentral:lncRNA from 1 species
UAGAAGUUUAAUGAUCUGCCUAUCAAUUUUAAAAAGAAUAAUUGAUCUAUCUAUCGUAAUCUUAAGAUAUCUCCUUCUUGCACUCUGCAACAUCAGACAUAUUAGAAAAGUGAAGGAAAAAAGCUGACGGGAAACACAAGUGGUGUGUGGUGCAUUGUUAGAUAAAUUUUAUAGAAGCAUAAAAGAGGAUACAUGCUCAUAGGAUAUCAAUUUAUAACAAAAUCAAUAUGAUGUGAUAAUUUAUAAAAAUCAUAAUCACAAAUUGAUAAAAACCAAUUAAUUGCCAAUGGCACAACCGGCUUCGAAUCCUCCUUACCAGUUGGUGGGAAACCCUCCUCGAGGAGUUCUUCUGACGCUCCUACCUAAGAGUGGACCUCUACUGACCUCCCUAGCAUGUCACUAACGUCCUGCUCGGUAGUCUGGAUGUGCUUUCUCUCUGUUCUACCAUUUUUUAACAAUUUUUUUUUUGAUAAAAACCAAUUUAAUAUAUUGAAUAUAAUCCACCAAUGGAUAAAAAAGCACACUAACCUUGAAAUUCUAGCACACAUUUCAGAAGCAAAAGCUAGAAUUUUAAUUUUCCUGCACCUGGAAAUAAAAACUGAAAAAAAUAAGGAUCCAUUACAAAGUGAAAACAACAAAAUUACUAUACUAUAGAUGACUUAAAAUAAUACUCACAUUCUAUACAGAAAGUACUAAAAGCCACACUAAGUGUAAUUUCAAAUUCCAAAUGGAACGAAACAUCCUUUAGUUUAAUACCACAAUGAACAAUAUAUAUCCUGCAAAAGUAUGUAUGGUAAAAAGUAAUGGAUUAAAGAACUCUCUAUUGUAAAGUAGUAGAUUGUUCUCAACUCACAACUUAAAAAAUAAUAGUGAGGAAGAUCCAAGGCAAUUUGAAAACUAAUGCACCAAGUACUGUGAUGAGAACAACACAUGGCGAGUGAAGAUUAAUGACAAUGACAAAAAAGAAGGUGGUGCAGUGAAUAAGUGGUAGUGAAUAUUUUCACAUGGCUAUAUAUAGAGUUCUUUGGACUCAAUAUUGUAAGAAGAAGGUGAAAGAUGAAAGCUGCAUCUAAGAGAAAAUGAAAGGGCAAAGAGAAGAGGAAAGAUGAAACUUGC